rnacentral:rRNA from 1 species
AGCGAACGCUGGCGGCAGGCCUAACACAUGCAAGUCGAACGAACUCUCCGUAGUUAGUGGCGGUCGGGGGGGGAACACGGGGGAAGGUGCAUGUAGGUACCGAAUAACUCAGGGUAACUUGUGCUAAUACAGAAUGUGCCCUUCGGGGGAAAGAUUUAUCGCCUUUGGGGCGGCCCGGGUCUGUUUAGCUGGUUGGGGAGGUAAAGGCUGACGAAGGCGACGAUCAGUAGCUGGUCUGAGAGGCUGCUCCGCCACCUUGGGACUGAGCCACGGCCCAAACUCCUACGGGAGGGAGGAGUGGGGAAUCCAGCGCAAUGGGCGAAGGCCUGACGCCGCCCUGGCGCGUGAAUGAUGAAGGUGUUAGGAUUGUAAAAUUCUUUAACCGGGGGCGAUAAUGACGGUACCCGGAGAAGAAGCCCCGGCUAACUUCGUG